CGCGCCGCCCGAAACCCUAGCCCCACUGAUUCUCUCCAGCCCAGCCCAGCCAAGGGGAGGGGAUGUCGGCGGCGCCAGCGGCGGGAGGGCAGGGUGGCGGGGGCAUUGACGCCGCGCUCCUCGACGACAUCAUCCGCCGCCUGCUCGAGGUGCGGACCGCGCGCCCAGGGAAGCAGGUGCAGCUCUCUGAGUCGGAGAUCCGCCAGCUGUGCACCGUCUCCCGCGCCAUCUUCCUCAGCCAGCCCAACCUCCUCGAGCUCGAGGCGCCCAUCAAGAUCUGCGGUGACAUCCAUGGUCAAUACAGUGAUCUUCUAAGGCUUUUUGAAUAUGGAGGUUUUCCUCCUGAAGCCAAUUAUCUAUUCUUAGGUGAUUAUGUUGAUCGAGGCAAACAAAGUUUGGAGACUAUAUGCCUUCUUCUUGCUUACAAAAUCAAGUACCCUGAGAACUUUUUUCUUCUGAGGGGCAAUCAUGAAUGUGCCUCAAUAAACAGAAUAUAUGGAUUUUAUGAUGAAUGCAAGCGUCGAUUUAAUGUGCGGCUAUGGAAGGUCUUCACAGAAUGUUUUAACACUCUACCUGUGGCUGCUCUUAUCGAUGAUAAAAUAUUAUGUAUGCACGGUGGACUUUCUCCCGAUCUAGCACACUUGGAUGAGAUAAAGAACUUGCAACGUCCAACCGAUGUACCAGAUCAAGGUCUACUGUGUGACUUACUUUGGUCAGAUCCAGGAAAAGAUGUUCAAGGGUGGGGCAUGAAUGAUAGAGGGGUCUCAUAUACCUUUGGUGCUGACAAGGUUUCAGAAUUCCUGCAAAGGCAUGAUCUUGAUCUUAUUUGUCGUGCUCAUCAGGUUGUCGAGGAUGGGUAUGAAUUCUUUGCUGACAGACAGCUUGUCACCAUAUUCUCGGCUCCCAAUUAUUGUGGUGAAUUUGAUAAUGCUGGCGCAAUGAUGAGCGUUGACGAAACUUUGAUGUGUUCCUUCCAAAUUCUGAAACCUGCUGAGAGAAAACAAAUUUAUGGGGCCAAACAAAAUGUGAGAUAGUGAACCCAUUUUGCUUCCAGCAGCUCUGAGGCUCUCCUGUGGAUGCAUCAAGACAACAGCAUGAUGGCGCCAAACUUGAGGUCAGCAUUGGGCAAGGGCAACUACCAGAGCAGAGAAACCAAAUAAUAUACCAUACCUAACUGUUCGCCUGGAAGUUACUCUUCAUGACAGGAAAAAUUCUGAACAUCAAGGAGUUUCUGUUUGCAAGUUUCACUAUUUAAAAGCAGGUCGUGUCACUUGUGCGGAGUUAAGGACUGGACCGAGGCAGUAUUAUCAGUUUCUGGAUAUGGAUUGUUGUGCUAGUUUCGAUGCAGGUGUCAAACAACAAUUAGGCUGAAGAGGUGAGCAACAUUUAAGGAGGUGCUGAUGCUUGCUGAUAACCUAUGAAAAGGCGUUGCUGUAGCUGACUACUUGGUUUGUGGUCAGAUAAUUCUGGACGUGAAUUUUGAUAUGUUGGCCAGAUUAGCUGCCAAAUAGGUAUUUCGUAUCUCUUGAUUUAUGGGAUUCACAUUAACUGAUUCUUGGUUGCC